CGAGCGAGUCUGCCUUGAAGAUCGGAGUGCUUGCACUCUGUGAAACAAGAUCUCGGCUAGCGGCGGACGGGUGAGUAACACGUGGGUAACCUGCCCAAGAGAUCGGGAUAACACCUGGAAACAGAUGCUAAUACCGGAUAACAACAGAUGAUGCCUAUCAACUGUUUAAAAGAUGGUUCUGCUAUCACUCUUGGAUGGACCUGCGGUGCAUUAGCUAGUUGGUAGGGUAACGGUCUACCAAGGCGAUGAUGCAUAGCCGAGUUGAGAGACUGAUCGGCCACAUUGGGACUGAGACACGGCCCAAACUCCUACGGGAGGCAGCAGUAGGGAAUCUUCCACAAUGGACGCAAGUCUGAUGGAGCAACGCCGCGUGAGUGAAGAAGGGUUUCGGCUCGUAAAGCUCUGUUGUUGGUGAAGAAGGACAGGGGUAGUAACUGACCUUUGUUUGACGGUAAUCAAUUAGAAAGUCACGGCUAACUACGUGCCAGCAGCCGCGGUAAUACGUAGGUGGCAAGCGUUGCCCGGAUUUAUUGGGCGUAAAGCGAGUGCAGGCGGCUCGAUAAGUCUGAUGUGAAAGCCUUCGGCUCAACCGGAGAAUUGCAUCAGAAACUGUCGAGCUUGAGUACAGAAGAGGAGAGUGGAACUCCAUGUGUAGCGGUGAAAUGCGUAGAUAUAUGGAAGAACACCGGUGGCGAAGGCGGCUCUCUGGUCUGUUACUGACGCUGAGGCUCGAAAGCAUGGGUAGCGAACAGGAUUAGAUACCCUGGUAGUCCAUGCCGUAAACGAUGAGUGCUAAGUGUUGGGAGGUUUCCGCCUCUCAGUGCUGCAGCUAACGCAUUAAGCACUCCGCCUGGGGAGUACGACCGCAAGGUUGAAACUCAAAGGAAUUGACGGGGGCCCGCACAAGCGGUGGAGCAUGUGGUUUAAUUCGAAGCAACGCGAAGAACCUUACCAGGUCUUGACAUCCAUAGCCAGUCUAAGAGAUUAGAUGUUCCCUUCGGGGACUAUGAGACAGGUGGUGCAUGGCUGUCGUCAGCUCGUGUCGUGAGAUGUUGGGUUAAGUCCCGCAACGAGCGCAACCCUUGUCAUUAGUUGCCAGCAUUAAGUUGGGCACUCUAAUGAGACUGCCGGUGACAAACCGGAGGAAGGUGGGGAUGACGUCAAGUCAUCAUGCCCCUUAUGACCUGGGCUACACACGUGCUACAAUGGACGGUACAACGAGAAGCGACCCUGUGAAGGCAAGCGGAUCUCUGAAAGCCGUUCUCAGUUCGGAUUGCAGGCUGCAACUCGCCUGCAUGAAGCUGGAAUCGCUAGUAAUCGCAAAUCAGCACGUUGCGGUGAAUACGUUCCCGGGCCU
rnacentral:rRNA from 1 species